rnacentral:sRNA from 1 species
AGCCUGUAGCUCGCAGCGCGCGCUGGAGGUGGGCACGGGGCGGUGCGGGGCGGUGCGCGCGGGGCGGUGCCGCGCGGCGGAGGGAGCCGCGAUGGAGGGCGCUCCGACUGUCCGCCAGGUGAUGAAUGAAGGGGAUUCAAGCCUUGCCACCGAGUUACAGGAAGAUGUAGAGGAAAAUCCUAGUCCAACUGUGGAAGAGAAUAAUGUGGUAGUUAAAAAACAGGGGCCAAAUUUACAUAAUUGGAGUGGUGACUGGAGCUUUUGGAUUUCAAGUUCCACCUAUAAAGACAGGAAUGAGGAAUACAGAAGACAGUUCACACAUCUGCCUGAUACAGAGAGGCUGAUAGCAGAUUAUGCUUGUGCUCUUCAGAGGGACAUUUUGCUUCAGGGACGACUAUACCUUUCAGAAAACUGGCUAUGUUUCUAUAGCAACAUCUUCAGAUGGGAAACUACAGUAAGACAUUUUGCAUUUGAUUUGUUGAUACAAAUAAUUGCAUAGAGAUAUAUACAGUUCUUCCAAAAACUGUACUUUAGAUGAUUCCAAAGUAAAUUUAUAUAUAUUUGUGCAUCUAAACUAGUGUGCAUGUAAAUACAAACAUGUGUUGUAUAUAUAAGUAUGUAAUAUAUUUUUCUGAUUUAAUACAUUGAGCUCCAGUAUAGUUAAAGAUAUUUUAAUUGAAAAAAAGCUUGAACAUAUAUCUUAAUGGCUGCCAAAACCAUGUCUUAAGUGAC